rnacentral:rRNA from 1 species
UUGACCUCAAAUCAGGUAGGACUACU